UUCGAAAUGGCAGAAUAAUGCAUAAGCCUUAAGAGCUUAGUAUGACUUAUGGUCUUUCGUAA
rnacentral:tRNA from 1 species